rnacentral:rRNA from 2 species
AAAUUGAAGAGUUUGAUCAUGGCUCAGAUUGAACGCUGGCGGCAGGCCUAACACAUGCAAGUCGAACGGUAACAGGAAGCAGCUUGCUGCUUUGCUGACGAGUGGCGGACGGGUGAGUAAUGUCUGGGAAACUGCCUGAUGGAGGGGGAUAACUACUGGAAACGGUGGCUAAUACCGCAUAAUGUCGCAAGACCAAAG